GACAUUUCAUAUCACGUUCAUCAUUUGUUGUGCUCAAGAUGGCGAUGAGGUCAGUUGUUCCUAAAAGAAUUUCUCAUUUUGAAGUAUGGAGGCGAAUUGCAAACCAAAUCAGCAUCAGAUUUUUGAGCCCGAAGAGUUUUUGCGGCACUUGAUUGAUUUGUUUCAUUCUACCCAAAGCGAGCUGAGUAAAUCUGGAACUGCGGACAACCUGGGAACCAAGUUGUAUACCCGUUAAACAUCUACUGAACAAAGCACCGCUACCCAACGAAGUUCCUAGUAACUCGUUCGAAACUAUCUAGGUACUAAAUACGUGUGGCUGUAACGAAUUGGAGAACAAUGUCAUCGAUUUGAUAUAAUAAAACACUUUUCUUCAGAUAGUUGAACCUUUGGUUGAACCCUUUUUGAUUUAAAUAAACCUUAUGAAAUUCAAAA